AAAGUCGUAACAAGGUUUCCGUAGGUGAACCUGCGGAAGGAUCAUUCACAAUAAGUGUUUAAUGGCACUUUCAAUCCAUUACCCACCUUGUGUGCAUUGUCGAGAGGAUCUCUUUCAAAGAGAUUCUCUUUUAUACAUACUCUGUUCUUUCAGUAUCAGUCUACUUUUUUGAGUCAUAAAACUCGAAUACAACUUUCAACAACGGAUCUCUUGGCUCUC
rnacentral:misc_RNA from 1 species